CAUCAUUGGAAUACAUAUAUUUUAUUUAUCUUUGUAUUUUUAAAUAUAUGUAAGCGAUGACAUCAUUCUAACCCAUGAUGUAAGCGAUGAUGUCAUUCCAACUCGUGAUGUAAGCAAUGAUGUCAUUUCAACCCGUGAUGUAAGCGAUGAUGUCAUUCCAACCCAUGAUGUAAGCGAUGAUGUCAUCAAUUUGUGGGACUUGGGCUUUUCAUAUUUUUGGGCUUGAGCCUUCCUUGUGUUGGGCUUGGGCCUGGGCUUUUCUUGUUUUGGGCUUGAGUCUUCCAUGUGUUGGGCUUGGGAUCCAUAAUAUUAUAUUUAUUUUUUAUAUUUUUAUAUUAAUUAAUAUUUUUAAACAUGCACAAAAUGCAUAAUAAUAUUCAAUUUAAACCAUUUUAAGAUCAAAAUAAGGGUAAAAUUAUAACAAAAUUUUUAUAAAAUUAAUCAAUAAUCAAUUAGUACUCUGCAUGAUCCCUUAACAGAAAUGGAGACUAUUACCCGAGUGAGUGUUUGAGCUUAAUAAAUGUUGAUUUUGAGUGAAAUAACACUUACUCUAAAUGUGCUUUAUUGUUUAUCUCAUCUUUUUUAAUAGCUUCAAAACAUCAAUUUGCUUUGGACGUCUAGAAUGAUAGAAGAUGAAUUUGGUUGGUUUCAAACUUUGGAUUAGGAGACUGAGUAACAUUAUUUUGUAGAAGCAUGAUAGGGGGAUCAAUUUAUUAUAACUUGAGCCUAUUAACAUUUUUCUUUCUUUAUAUUAAUCUCCAUUACUAGCCCACUUGGGUCAUUUUUAAACACAAUUUCUUUUCUUACUCUCAUCUAAACCGUAACCACAUGAAGUUUGUCCAAACCUAGUGUAUUUUUAGGAAUCAGUCUAUAUCAGUAUUUUCAUAUAUAAAAAAAAAGAAAGAAAAAAAGCGAAAAAAAAAAGAAAAAAUGAGAAGUUCUCUUAGCUAUUCAUGUGAUCUUAGGAUUCGAAUUUAGAGUAGGGAAUUAUGUUUAAAUUCAGAAGUUAUUUAUCUAGGACAUUAUUUCAGUCAUGAAGUUAUGUUAAUUUUCCUAUUCUUUCAUGAAAAUACGUUUCUUGUAUUUAGAAUAACAUCAAGUUUUGAACUUGUUCUGCAUUUAAUCUUAUAACGGUGCACCCCCUUGUGUGUACACAUGAGGAAUCAUUUUUAUUGGAGGGAAAAUUCAUAGUAAGAUUUAAAGUCAAAACUUCGAGGGAAUAAGUCUAUGUGUUGGUCAUCUUGAUUGCCAUUCCUGAGAUUGUAUGACCCUUAACCAAAAAAUCUGAUUUAGAAUGUUUGACUGUAUGCCAAACUACUUAUUCUAUUUUAUGCAUUUCGGUUUCGAAUUUGAAAUUUUUCUAUUCAUACGAUUAUUGUGAAUAAAUCUUAGUAGGUGUAUAGUCUGAUUGCUAAGGGACUAGCAAUGUUUAAGUUGGGGGGUAUGAUGAGGAGUUAAUUUUUUUAAAUCUUAAUGAAUUAUAUCCCUAUUUUUAUUUUAUAUUAAUGUUUAAAUUGAAUAAUUAUACACAUUAUGUACUAUUGUCAGGAUGAUAUGAAAAAAUUAGUAUUUGUUGCGUAAUUGAAGAUGUUAAAGAGUCAAUCGGAUGACCAACGUUACUACUCAAAUUCAAGUGCAAUUUGGUCAACUAUUAAAUGGAGUCCAACACAAGGAAGACCCAAACAUUUUAAUCACAAGAAAAAUCUAAAUCCAACAUAAAGAAGACCAAAAACUCAACUUAUGAAAAUUUAUUUUUAUUUUUUAUUUUUAAAUAUAUGUUUUAUGAGUGCUUCUUUAGAUGUCUUUUAGCUAAAAUUUAUUUAAUUUUAGGUAUGUCUUUUAGCUAAUUUUCUUCCACUAGUUAGGUGAAUGUUUUGUGAGUGCCCAUUAGAUAUAAUUAUGUUUAGUUGUAUAAUUUUAAAUUGUGUGGUUUGUAUUGCAUCUUGUGGGCUAUAAAUAGCUCACUUGGUUGUACUUGUAUGAGACUAUUAUUCUUGAAUCAAAGUGAGCUUUAUAGCCUCAUAUAAGUGAGCUAUUUAUAGCCCACAAGAUGCAAUACAAGCCACACAAUUUAAAAUUAUACAACUAGACAUAAUUAUAUCUAAUGGGCACUCACAAAACAUUCACUUAACUAGUGGAAGAAAAUUAGCUAAAAGACACCUAAAGUUAAAUAGAUUUUAGCUAAAAGACACACCUAAAGAAGUACUCAUAAAACAUAUAUUUAAAAAUAAAAAUAGAUUUUCACAACUUGGGUUUUUGGUCUUCUUUAUGUUAGAUUUGGGCUUUUUUUGUGAUUAAAAUGCUUGGACCUUCCUUGUGUUGGACUCCAUUUAAUAGUUAACCAAAUUGCACUUGAAUUUGAGUAGUAACGUUGGUCAUCUAAUUAAUUCUUUAACAUCUUCAAUUACACAGCAAAUGUCAAUUUCUUCAUAUCAUUCUGACAAUAGUACAUAAUGUGUAUAAUUAUUCAAUUUAAACAUUAAUAUAAGAUAAAAAUAGAGAUAUAAUUCAUUAAGAUUUAAAAAAAAUUAACUCCUCAUCAGGGAAUACAAAAUAUCAAGCCUUAAACUAAUGAGAGAGAUGUAAACACAAAAUGAUCAAUUAACAACUGUUGAUAUAACACUCUAUAGUUUGAUUCUUAGUCAUUGAUGGAGUUUUAGAUCAAUAGCUAUAAAUUGUUGUUUUCUAUCUCCUCUCGCUCUAUAGUUUAGGGUUUUUUCUUGUCCACUAACCUGGCUAACUUUUCUUCACCCACCCCUUGCCUGAAUGGGUGAGAACCUAAGAUGAAUGUCCAUCUUUACUUCUUAAUUGUUGAUGGAUCGUUAGAUCAAGGACUAUGAAUCAUUAUUUGUUUUUUCCAUUCACUAAUUAGUUUAAGGUUUGAUCUUAGUUGUUCCUUAGGCUAACUUUUCUUUGACCAAUCCUUCCUUGAACCAAUUAAGUUGUUUUACUUCAAGGAAUAACUUAAGAAAAGAUAACCUAGUAAGCUCAUAAGACCGAGCUUGAAUUUGAUGAGGCAAAUGAGAUAACAAGAAAUGAUCAAUUCAUAACCGUUAAUAUACUCUAUCAAUGGGUGAGAAUCAAGAAUGAAUGUUUAUCUUGGGUUCUUAGCUAUUGAUGGACUAUCAAAUCAAUGGAAAUGAAUAAUUGUUUCUUGUCACCUCUCAAACAUUAGUUUAUCGCUUGUUCUUGUCUACUCUCUUGGUUAACUUCUCCUUGUUGAACCCAUUCUUGAACUAAUCAAGUUGUUUUAGUUUAGGGAAGUUAAAUGAUGAAAAAUUAACCUAAGGAGCUAAUAAAAAGAAGAAUUAAACUAAUGAGAGAGAGAGAUAACAACAAAUAAUGUUUGAUUCACAAUAGUUGAUAUGAUAGUCAUCAAUUGGUGAGAACCAAAGUAAGCAUUCACCUUUGAAUCUUACUCGUUGAUGGGUAGUCAAAUCAACAAUUGUGAAUCAUUGCUUGUUAUCGCCUCUAAAUAAUUAGUUUAAGACUUGUAAUUGUUUGCUCACUAGGCUAUCUUUUCUUUUACCAACUUAGUUGGGUCACUAUUCAUUAUUUUAGUUUAGAGUUUAAAGGUUAGGAUUAAGGGAAGGUUUGUGUCGAGAAAAGUUUGCCUAGGGAGCACUCAAGAAAAAGUCUUAAAUUAGUAAGAGAGAAACAAACAAACAAUGAUUAGUUCAGAACUAUUAAUAUGAUAUUCUAUCAAUGAGUGAGAAUUAAAGAUGAAAGAUGAAAUUUCAUCUUUGAUUGAUAGCCAUUGAUGGAGUGUUAUAUCAAUAGUUGUGAAUCAUUUUUUAUAGUCUCCUCUCACUUGAAGUUUAAGGCUUGCUCUUGUCUGCUAACCAACCUAACUUUUCUUUGUCUACCCCGUGCCUCAACUAAAAUAACUUGUUCAAGUUAUAGUUAUUUUCAUUCAGGAAAGGGUUGGGCAAAGAUAAAUUAGCCUAAAAAGCACACAUGAUAGAGCCUUAAACUAAUGAGAGAGCUAACAACAAAGAAUAAUUGAUUCACAACCAUUAAUAUGAUUCUUCAUAAAUAGGUGAGAACCAAAGAUGAACACUCAUAUUUCAUUCUUAGCCAUUGAUGGAUGGUUAGAUCAACUAUUGUUUGUUAUACCCUCUUAGUCAUUAGUUUAAAGCUUUUUCUUGUUUGCUCACUCGAAAAACUUUUCUGCAUGCAACUUUUCCCCUGAACCAAUGAAGUUAUUUUUGCUCAAUUAAGGGCUAGGCUAGUAAAUCUAGGGAUAGAAGGAGAAACAUUAAACUAAUGAGAGAAAGGAGGUAAUAAGCAACAAUAUAUUCACAAUGAUUGAUGUGAUUCUCUAUCAACAAGUGAGAACCAAAGAUAAACCCUCAUCUUUGAUUCUUAGUUGUUGAUGGACCAUCAAAUCAUUCUAAGCUUUGUUUGAUGUUGUAUCUCACUCAUAAGCUUAAGUCUUAUUCUUGUCUACUCACUAAGUUAAUUUUUCUUCACUUAACCCUUCCCAAAAGCCCCCCCCAAAAAAAAGAUUGAAGUUGUUGCGGUUUAGGAUUUAUGGUUUAGAGAAGGGUUAAGCAAAGAAAAGUUAGCCUGAGGAGCACUCAAGAAGAAGCUUUAAAUAAUGAGAAAAAGGAAAUAAAAAAAAAAUGACUUAUUCAUAAUCAUCAGUAUGUUAUUUCAAUUGUCGAUAUUUUUAAAAUCCCCCAAUGGCUAUGAACUGUUAAUUGUUAUUGUUAACAUAUUAUUUGAACACUUGUUCUUGGUUACUCACUUGGAUAACUUUCUUUUACCCAACCCUUCCCUAAACUAAUGAAGUUUUUGUUCAUGAAAGGGUGUCUACAACUUUUGAGAGAGAUUCAACAAGAAGCAAUGAUCAAAUUGCAACUAUUGAUGUAACAUUCCAUCAAUGGGUGAGAACGUAAAGGUUAGGCAAGUAGAAGUUAGCCUAAAUGUACAAGGAGAAGAGUUCACCAAUGAGAGGAAGGCAACAACAAGCAACUAUAGAUUCGCAACCACUGAUAUAACUCUCCAUUAAUAUUUUAGGGUUUAGGGUUCAGAAAAGAUCUAUGUGAUGAAAAGUUAGCCUAAGGAGCACUUAAGAAGAAGACUUAAACUAUGAGAGAGGGGAUAACAAGAGGUAAUGAUCAAUUUAACACCAUUAAUAUGAUGUUUCAUCAAUGAGUGAGAAUCAAAGAUGAAAUUUGUUCUUUGAUUCUUAGUCAUUGAUGGACAUGUUAGAUCAAAGAGUGCAAAUCAUUGUUUGUUGUAGCCUCACUCCUUAAUUUUAAGUCUUCUUCUUGACUGGUCACCAGAUUAACUUUUCUUUGCCUACUCUUGCCUAAACCAAAAAUAAAAAUAACUUAAACAUGUUUUGGUUUUGUGAAGUUCUAAGCAAACAAAUGUUGGCCUAGGGAGCACAAAAGAGAGAUAUAGAGAGAAGCACUAACAAGUAAUGAUUAAUUCUCAACUAUUGAAAAUAAGUUCUAUCUUUGGUUCUAUACAUUGAUGAAACAUUAUAUCAAUUACCUCAAAUCAUUGUUUGUUAUUGCCUCUUACUCAUUAGUUUAAGGUUUGUUCUUGUUUGUUCACUAGGUUGAUUUUCUUCGCUUAGUUGUUCCAUAAACCAAUUAAGAUGUUUCGAUUCAAGGAAGUGCUAGGUAAAGAAAAGUUACUCUACAUAGCAUAUAAGAAUAAGCAUUAUACUAAUGAGAGAGAUGCAACAACAAGCAACACUUGGUUUAUAACCAUUAAUAUGGCUCUUCGUAAACAUAUGAGAACAAAAAAUGUAGGUUCAUCAUUGAUUCUUAACUAUUAACGAACUGCCAGAUUAAUGGUUGUGAAUUGUUGGUUGUUAUUCCCUCAGAUUUUAGUAUAAGGGUUAUUCUUGUUUGCUUACUAGGCUAACUUCUCUUAACCCAACCCUUCCCGGAACCAAUCACAUUGUUUUAGUUCAAGGAUGGGCUAAGCAAAGAAUAGUUAGCCUAGGGUGCCUAUAAGAAGAAGCUUUAAAUUAAUGACAGAUGGAUGGCCACGAGAAAUGCUUGAUUAACUGUGGUUAACAUUAUGCUCCAUCAAUGGGUGAGAGUUAGAGAUUAAUGUUUAUCUUUUAUUCUCAACCAUUACUAAAUUUGUUCUUGUCUACUCACUAGGCUAACUUAACCAACUAACUAGGCUAACUUUUUAUUGUUCAAGUUUAGGGUUUGGAGUUUAGAGUUCUAGGAAGGGUUGGGAGAAGGAAAGUUAGCUCAGGGAGCACUUGAGAAAAAGCCUUAAAAUAAUGGGUUAUAGGUGCCACCAAGCAAUGCGUGAUUCAUGAUUGUUGAUAUAAUGCUUCAUCAAGGGUGAGAACCAUAGAUGAAAGUUCAGCUUUGAUUAUCAGUGUUGAUAGGGCAUUAGAUCGACAGCUAUGGAUCGUUGUCUCUUACUCAUUAGUUUAAGGCUUGUAAUUAUCUACUCACUUGGCUAACUUUUCUUCAGUUAGACCUUUCUUGAACUAGAACAUCUAAAUAAGUUGUUUUGAUUCAGGAAAAGGUUGGGUGAAGAAAAGUUAGCCAAUGGAGCACAUAAGAAGAAACCAUAAACUAAAGAGAGUUAGGUGACAACCAAUAAUGUUCUAUUCACAACAGUGGAUAUAACAGUACCAAUGAUACAUGUAUGAUUCUUAUUAGGUCAAUGACUAUGAAUUGUUGUUUAUUUUUGCCUCUCUCAUUCACUUAAGCCUUCUUGUUGUUUGUUUACUAAGCUCAUUUCUUCGCCCAACAUUUCAGCUAAGGUAGGGAUGAGAGAAUAGAUGUGAACCUGGUAGGCACAAUUGAAGAAGCUCUGAACUAAUGAGGGAGAGGUGAUAACAAAUAAUGAUUUAUCUGUAUCCAUUGAUAUGAUGUUCCAUUAAAGACAAAGAAUUAACAUAGUUUCCAUCUUUGAUUCUCAACUAUUAAUGGAUUGCCUGAUUAAUGAUUGUAAAUAUUUAUUUUUAUUGCCUCUUUCUCAUGAGUUUUAACACUUGGUAUGGCUACUCACUAGGCUCACAAUUCUUUAGCCAACCCACCCUUGAAUGAAAAAACGUUCUUCAGUUACUUUGAUUCAAAAGGGCUAGUCAAAGAAAAGUGAGCAUAGUAAGCACAUAAGAAGAAAUCUAAGAGGCAACACAAGUAAUGAUUACUUUGCAGUUGUUGAUUUGGAAAUUAAUCAACAACUUUCCUUUUGAUUCUUAGCCAUUAGCAGCACAUUAAAUCAACUAUUGUGAAAUGUUAUUUGCUAUCAUCUCUCUAUAGUUUAAGUCUUAUUCUUCUCUACUUACUAGGCUCACUAUUUUUUCCCAAUCCUUCCCUAAAUCAGAACACCUUGACUAAUAUGAUUUAGUGAAAGGAUAAGUGAAGAAAAGUGAACCUAGUUAGUAGACAAGAAGAAGGCUUAAACUAAUGAGGGAGAGGUGAUAACAAGUAAUUGUUGAAAUAUUAGCCCAAAUGAAAGUUUAAGAGGGAAUGAAUUAAGCUAUAUAGGUUUUUAUCAAACUAAAAUAACAUCACUGAAAGUAAUGCGUGUAAAGACAUGAAAAUUGAGAAAGAUUACACUAGAUUUAUAGUGGUUCAGUAAACGAUCUACAUUCAUUACUUUGACUCCUCGCUAAACUUGAGCCUGUGAAAAGCUAUGUAAAAAGUUCUAACUAAGCCCACUAAUAUUAGUUUAGGAAUUAUAUAAUAAUACUCUAUUAUAUCGAGGGUCUAACUUAAGCAUCAUAAUGUUUGUAUGGGAAAGGAAAUGCCCUGCACCCUUUGAUUGAUUUUUGUCUUGCAAAAUUUAGAUGGCCUGAAGAUGAAUUUCUUGACUAUAAAUUUUAUUAUCGUGUUCAAGCAGCAACACUAUUUAUCGGCUCUACAUUGCUAUUAUAUGAUUUAUAAAUAUACUUGUUUAUGAAUACGUUGAUCAAGGAGUUUACUACUCUGCGUGUUUACAAAUUUUAUUAUUGUUAUUUUUACAAAAUUACCAUAAGUCCAAUUAUACUUCCUUAAGAUUUUGUGACAAUGUCAUUAGCCCUUUCACUCAUAUACCCAACCCAAAUCACCAUAAUGGAAAACCACACCAAGACUUAAUUGAAGGGAAAUUGAGGCUCACACUUGAAUUUCUAACUUACCAA